AGCCACAUCCCGUUGAAUCACCGGUUCCUGUAUGAUCACUGAAUUUAAGCAAUGUCAUGCCUGGUCAGUACCAAGAUGGGUGACCACUUGGGAAUACCAUGUGCUGUAAG